rnacentral:rRNA from 1 species
UGCGUAGGCGGCUCUUUAAGUCAGUGGUGAAAUCUUGCCGCUUAACGGUAAAAUUGCCAUUGAUACUGAAGAGCUUGAGUACAGUUGAGGUAAGCGGAAUGUGUAGUGUAGCGGUGAAAUGCUUAGAUAUUACACAGAACACCAAUUGCGAAGGCAGCUUACUAAACUGUUACUGACGCUGAUGCACGAAAGCGUGGGGAGCGAACAGGAUUAGAUACCCUGGUAGUCCACGCCGUAAACGAUGCUCACUCGCUGUUUGCGAUACACAGCAAGCGGCCAAGCGAAAGCAUUAAGUGAGUCACCGUGGGGAUACGAUCGCAAGGUUGAA